rnacentral:rRNA from 1 species
UACGUAUGGUGCAAGCGUUAUCCGGAUUUACUGGGCGUAAAGGGGGCGCAGACGGCGAUGCAAGCCAGGAGUGAAAGCCCGGGGCCCAACCCCGGGACUGCUCUUGGAACUGCGUGGCUGGAGUGCAGGAGGGGCAGGCGGAAUUCCUGGUGUAGCGGUGAAAUGCGUAGAUAUCAGGAGGAACACCGGUGGCGAAGGCGGCCUGCUGGACUGCAACUGACGUUGAGGCCCGAAAGCGUGGGGAGCAAACAGG